rnacentral:rRNA from 1 species
AACGAACGCUGGCGGCAGGCUUAACACAUGCAAGUCGAACGCCCCGCAAGGGGAGUGGCAGACGGGUGAGUAACACGUGGGAACCUUCCUAGAGGUACGGAACAACUCAGGGAAACUUGAGCUAAUACCGUAUACGCUCUUGCGAGGAAAGAUUUAUCGCCUUUAGACGGGCCCGCGUCGGAUUAGCUAGUUGGUGGGGUAACGGCCUACCAAGGCGACGAUCCGUAGCUGAUCUGAGAGGAUGAUCAGCCACACUGGGACUGAGACACGGCCCAGACUCCUACGGGAGGCAGCAGUGGGGAAUCUUGGACAAUGGGCGCAAGCCUGAUCCAGCCGUGCCGCGUGAGUGAAGAAGGCCUCCGGGUUGUAAAGCUCUUUUACCAGGGACGAUAUGACGGUACCUGGAGAAUAAGCCCCGGCAAACUUCGUGCCAGCCGCCGCCGUAA